rnacentral:rRNA from 1 species
UACGAAGGGUGCAAGCGUUAAUCGGAAUUACUGGGCGUAAAGCGUGCGUAGGCGGUUUGUUAAGUCUGUUGUGAAAGCCCCGGGCUCAACCUGGGAAUGGCAAUGGAUACUGGCAGGCUAGAGUGCGGUAGAGGGUAGUGGAAUUCCCGGUGUAGCGGUGAAAUGCGUAGAGAUCGGGAGGAACACCAGUGGCGAAGGCGGCUACCUGGACCAGCACUGACACUGAGGCACGAAAGCGUGGGGAGCAAACAGG